ACGGGUGAGUAACACGUAGGCAACCUGCCUGUAAGACCGGGAUAACAUUCGGAAACGGAUGCUAAGACCGGAUACGCAAUUCUGCCGCAUGAUGGGAUUGGGAAACGCGGAGCAAUCUGCGGCUUACGGAUGGGCCUGCGGCGCAUUAGCUAGUUGGUGAGGUAACGGCCCACCAAGGCGACGAUGCGUAGCCGACCUGAGAGGGUGAACGGCCACACUGGGACUGAGACACGGCCCAGACUCCUACGGGAGGCAGCAGUAGGGAAUCUUCCACAAUGGACGCAAGUCUGAUGGAGCAACGCCGCGUGAGUGAGGAAGGCCUUCGGGUCGUAAAGCUCUGUUGCCAGGGAAGAACGCAUGGGAGAGUAACUGCUCCUGUGGUGACGGUACCUGAGAAGAAAGCCCCGGCUAACUACGUGCCAGCAGCCGCGGUAAUACGUAGGGGGCAAGCGUUGUCCGGAAUUAUUGGGCGUAAAGCGCGCGCAGGCGGUUUCUUAAGUCUGGUGUCUAAGUGCGGGGCUCAACCCCGUGAUGCACUGGAAACUGGGGAACUUGAGUGCAGAAGAGGAGAGCGGA
rnacentral:rRNA from 1 species